rnacentral:lncRNA from 1 species
AUUUUUUUGUUUAUUAACAUCAAACAACAAUUUUGUAAGGUAUUUAUUAUAUCUGUAUGUUAUUGGGAUGACUGAUCGAUCAAUGGCGGCUUUACUUCAAGAGGCAAAUGUUCAAGUGUAUUUAGUAUAAUAACAUGUAAAUGAGAUAUGAGUAUAUAAAAAAGAAGAUGUGGUAUGAUUGCCAAUAAUACAACUGUCCACAAGAGACCAAAAUUACACAGACAUUAACAACUAUAGGUCACUGUAUGGCCUUCAACAAUGAGCAAAGCCCAUACCGCAUAGUCAGCUAUAAAAGACCUCUGAUGAAUCAUAACAAGGAUAUUUUGACAAAUCACUAUAAAAUUUAAAUCAAUUUGAUUUAACGGUAGCCCA